GAGGAACCUGUGGAGGAGAGUCUCCUGCUGCUGCCUGAAAAUCAAGAUGUCGAACUCUUGGCUCCUCCAGAACCAUGUUUGCCUGGAUGCUGCCAUGCUUCCCACUGCGAUGAUGAUGGAUUGAACCUCUGAAACUGUCUGUCUGUGCAAACUCAUUUUUUUUUAACAACACUAAUGAGUGGAAAAAGAAGAAAAGGAUUUCUAGGUUUUAAUACUACACAGUUCAAAACAAAAUGGAAAAUGGCUAGUAAUUCUGAAUGAAAUUCAAUUUAAUUUCUACUCAAACUGUUUUGCAAGGACCCUUGGGUAUGGACACAAAGAAAGACCAGUUUGAAAAGCUUUCCCCUCUCCUAUGUGUUUGCAGAAUGUGAGCACCACUGAAGAAAAAUCACCCAGAUCUUUUUGUAUUCAAAAUGAGAAUGACUGGAAAUGUCACCUUGUGUGAUUUUCCACAGUCUGUUCAUAGUAGACAUUAGGUACAGGGUCUUACAUGCUGCCACAAAAGAGGGCUGGACUCGAAAAGUCACACAAUGGACCUUGAGAAAGGGACUGAUUCAGGCUCCACUCCGGAAGUGGAACUGUGAACUGCAGAAGUGCGAAAGAACUGCAUACUGGAUCCAGUAGAAUUUACUUGGAUGGCAGUUCUGAGGACCACUUCAUGGUAUGGACCCUUUGCAGGGCUACACUUCUGAGGUUUCCAACAGCAUCUGGCACAGUCAAAAUGGCUCUUAUAUCAGUUCGUAGCUACCCCUCAGAGAGAUUGUAGCAUUAUCUAACCUGAUGCGUUGGGGGAUAUUCUGCAUCUCAGUGAGCUCAAAUACAAACCAUGAAGCUUCCCCAGAGGUCAUUCUUUCUACUCCUGUCUUCCUGGCCCACGAUACUCCUUCCAGAUACAUGGUCCACGUGCUAAUUCUCUUUCAGGGACAUUAUUGUCCCUCCUCAGGGUUGUAUCCACUCCUCAGGGAACCACAUCAGUCUUAACAAAUACAGUUCAGACUUUUACCUAUGAAGAAGCUCCUCAUUCAGGGUGGAUUAGUGGGUGCAAGGCAAAGUGUUUGCAGAAGGACUUAUGACCACAAGGCCUAGCAGAGCUCCUUUGCAUCAUGUACAGACUGCAUUAAACCUGUCCAUUGUCAUUUUCCUUCAUUGUGUUGUGAACAUCUAGAUGGUGGAAAUUUUAUCAGAUUCACAUUUAUGUCAUGACUCUAUGGUGUGGCAACAGUUAUAUUUGGAAGCAUUGAACAUAAAGAUGCUGAGUUGCAUUGAUCUUUUAAGGCCAAGACUCUACUAGUAGCAGAUUUGAGGUGGUGGCAGACUAUUCUGCCUCUCGGGGUUAUCCUUCAAGGCAUUUAUUUGCUAGGUUAUUGUUCAGACAAUGAGAUAAGAUCUUACAGACUGUUUCUUAGCAUUUAGAAUUUGUAUGUAGAUUUUAUAUACUUGUGCCCAUAGCCUAUUCUGUUCCUACUUGGUAUCAAUAAGCACUGCCAUUCUUGGAAAUGCAGUUUGGCUAAGAAUCUUUUAUCAGUUUUUAUGACUAUAUUAUGAUAAAAAAAUGGGCAUGACUGGAUUUACUGUCAGCUGAAAGAUGUGUGUUUGAUAUAUAUUUGAUCGUGAAAGACUAAUAUGUUAUGGCAGCAAAUGUAGUUUAAUGAUACUUUUAAAAAGUUAGUAUUUUAAUGUCAGAGAAGCAAACUGGAAACUCAAUAUGUAUGCACUCUGUGCCUUUUGUCUUCUUGUAAGAAUCUGUCAAUUAUCUUACUCCAAAUAAAAGUCUCCUGC